UUAUCCUCUCAGGCCUUUUGGCUAAGAUCAAGUGUAGUAUCUGUUCUUUAUAGUUUAACAACUAUAAUGAGGGACAUUGUCCCUCUCGUUGUUAAUCUAAUUUUUUCCACCAGGAAACUAAGGCUCUGGCUUGCUAUCUUUGGCUUCCACAGGUGUCCCUUGCCUUACACUAUCAGCAAGGUGACGCCGACCUAUU
rfam:Rhizopus oryzae RA 99-880 supercont3.6 genomic scaffold, whole genome shotgun sequence.